AAGAGUCACUUUUUUCAUAAAUACACCACAACUGACCGAUCUUCCAACUGCUGGAGACCUCGUCUUCCCUGCAGGGCGAGCUCAGGGUUCGCCAAGCUCUGUGGAGUCAAGACGGGGCGGUGCCUUCGUCCCAGCCUCACCGCAGGCAAAGAUAAGCGAGCUGAGAAUGAAGCGGAGAGCAUCAGACAGAGGAGCUGAGGAAACGUCGGCCAGGGCAAAGGCUCUAGGAAGUGGGAUUUCUGGAAAUAAUGCAAAGAGAGCUGGACCAUCAUCCUUUGAUCCUGACCUUGGAGGAGAGGGGAGACCAAGGCAUAGAGAGCCAGGAGGAGCAGCAAGGCAAGAUGCUGCUGCACACCAAGUACUCACUGCUCUCCCUCCUCCACAUGCAGGACGGCGUGGUUCACCACCAUGGCCUCUUCCAGGACCGCAUCUGUGAGAUUGUUGAGGGCACAGCAUCCAGCUGAAUGGUUAAGAAGGUGAAGAAACACAUCUGCCUUGUCCUGGACUGCCUCAGUGCACACGACUUCAGUGACAAGACCGCCGACCUCAUCAACCUGCAGUACUACGUCAUCAAGGAGAAGAGGCUCAGCGAGCGGGAGACCGUGGUCAUCUUCUACGAUGUGGUUCGCGUGGUGGAGG